rnacentral:rRNA from 1 species
GACAGAGGGGGCAAGCGUUGCUCGGAAUUACUGGGCGUAAAGGGCGUGUAGGCGGGAUGGCAAGUCGGUCGUGAAAUCCCUCGGCUCAACUGAGGAUCGUCGAUCGAUACUGCCGUUCUUGAGGAUUGCAGAGGAGACUGGAAUUCCCGGUGUAGCGGUGAAAUGUGUAGAGAUCGGGAGGAACACCGGUGGCGAAGGCGGGUCUCUGGGCAAUUCCUGACGCUGAGGCGCGAAAGCGUGGGGAGCAAACGGG